rnacentral:rRNA from 1 species
AGCGAACGCUGGCGGCAGGCCUAACACAUGCAAGUCGAACGAACCCUUCGGGGUUAGUGGCGGACGGGUGAGUAACACGUGGGAACGUGCCUUUAGGUUCGGAAUAACUCAGGGAAACUUGUGCUAAUACCGAAUGUGCCCUUCGGGGGAAAGAUUUAUCGCCUUUAGAGCGGCCCGCGUCUGAUUAGCUAGUUGGUGAGGUAAUGGCUCACCAAGGCUACGAUCAGUAGCUGGUCUGAGAGGAUGACCAGCCACAUUGGGACUGAGACACGGCCCAAACUCCUACGGGAGGCAGCAGUGGGGAAUCUUGCGCAAUGGGCGAAAGCCUGACGCAGCCAUGCCGCGUGGAUGAUGAAGGUCUUAGGAUUGUAAAAUCCUUUCACCGGUGAAGAUGAUGACUGUAGCCGGAGAAGAAGCCCCGGCUAACUUCGUGCCAGCCGCCGCCAUAAAAC